AUGUAUGUCAUGUCAACGAAUGCCAGGAGAGCAUUUGUUAUCUUCCAUACCAAACAAGUUGAGAGCGGUUCCAAAGUGUUGAUAUUAAGCAUGUAUAUCAUGCACAUAUAUCGUUUGACACUCCCCCCGACCUUUGCAUAUCACAAACCAUGGCUAACCGAAUCCUCGGGUGCCCACCAACAAUCUCAAACCAUGGGGGAGUGUCUAUUUUCUUUUGUUUCCCUUGUUUUCUUUUUGAAUGUUUAUUGGUCUAACCAGCUCUCCUUUUGUUUAGUGACAAGCACAUUAUGCAUGCAAGUCGAAGGGUACUUAAAUUUAGUAUGGAAGAUAACAAACCCACUACUACUUCCUCAUGAGCUAAACAGGAACACAAAACAGGAGUAUAUUUUGAAGGUUUUAAAGGUAGCACUCAAGUAA
rnacentral:rRNA from 1 species